CCCUUAGAUGUUCUGGGCCGCACGCGCGCUACACUGACAUGUUCAACAAGCCUCCUAGUUCGACAGGAUUUGGGAAAUCUUUGAACGCCUGUCGUGAUAGGGAUAGAUCAUUGCAAUUAUUGAUCUUGAACGAGGAAUUCCUAGUAAACGCGAGUCAUCAGCUCGCAUUGAUUACGUCCCUGCCCUUUGUACACACCGCCCGUCGCACCUACCGAUUGAAUGUUUCGGUGAAGAUUCCGGAUAGGACUUUUUUGAUUUAUUUCAAUUUUGUCUUAAAAGCUAUCUAAACCUCAACAUUUAGAGGAAGGUGAAGUCGUAACA
rnacentral:rRNA from 1 species